rnacentral:lncRNA from 1 species
AUUGAUGUAAUACGAUAGAAUAUAGCAAUAAUUUCGCUGUAUUCAGUGAAAUUCUGUCUGAGGAACUCCCACGAAGAUCUUUCACAUCUUUUACAGUCCAUGACAGUAUUCUUUCGUUUCUCCAUUUCUUCUUAAAGAGAUUAAUUCCUACAAGUGUGUGGCUUUCAAACAGAUCUGUGUCUGCCUCGGCUGUCCGAUGUUAGGCGGAAACGAGUUCAAGGUCCAGUAAUUCGGAUAUAUUUCAGAAGUGUUAUCUAAGGGCAUUGGCGCACUGGGUUGUGGCACGAAGGGCUCACGUGUCUUGGGGCCCAGUUUUGAUCUCUACAUGUCGAUAAAUAAAUUCUUUAGGGCUCAUUGCAUUAAUUUACGUGCGGGGUGGGACUCAAUUGUCUUAGGGCUCAAUUCUAAUGUGCGUAGGCAGUAAAAAGAAGUAAAUGUAAAGGUUGCAUUUUUGAGUCAUGCUGACCUAUAAGGGUCGAUUUUCCCGGUUUCCAUGGCGUAUACAAUCCUUACUUGGACGGGAUGCUGGUCUGUCGCAGGGCUACUCUUUUUUUGCCAGCUGAAUGGGCUGGAGUAACGUAGAAUAAAGUGUUUUUCUCAUGAACACAAUGCGUCUCCCGGUCCAGGAAUUGAAACCACAAUCUUACGAUCAUGAGUCCAACACCCUAACCACUGGGUCACAAACCCCCACAAUACUAUAAGGCCUAAGGGAGGUGAGCUAGCAGAACCGUUAGAACGCCGGGCGAAAUGCUUAGCGGUAUUUCGUCUGCCGUUACGUUCUGCGUUCAAAUUCCGCCGAGGUCGAUUUUGCCUUUCAUCCUUUCGAGGUCGAUAAAUUAAGUACCAGUUACGCACUGUCGCACGCAUACAUACAUAUAUAUAUACAAGCAUUUACACACACGUGCUUGUAAGCACACACACACAUCUCUUUACAGUUGUGGCCGUCUAUUCAGUUUCAAGUAUAACCACUUUCUCAUUGCAGACGUAUGUUUGAAACAUGCUUUCCCAUCGUGUUCCCUCAAUUUUGAUUUCAUUAAAUUUUAUUGAUGACCUAUGUAGCACAGAAUUUGCUCCAGAAUUACACCCACAAUUGCACUUUCCUCUAUUAUGACAGUAUCGACCGGACUAUCGGAUGUUGUUACACAUCGCUAGUCACAUUACGCUUCUUCGCUUCGCUGCAGCUUCCGAAUGACGUCACCCUCGUGGCUUGGUGUGUAGAGGCCAACGUUCUUCUUGGACGGAACACCAGUCCGUGGCACGGUUAUUCGUUUACGGCUGAGCGAACUGGAACAACGUAAACCAACGUGAAAUAACGCGUUGUGCCCAAUAAAUAACACAACGCAACACAGUCUGGGAAUCGAAACCACAAUCUUGUGAUCGUGAGCGCCACACUCUCACCACCAGGCCACGUAACUUGAAUUAUUACAUCGAAAAUAAUUUCAUGUAAUAUGAUAGAGUGUUUCAACAUUUUUGCUAUAUGAGUUAAAUACACGUGAACCGUCCACAGCAGUUGUUUAAUGUUACAUCUCCUACAUUCUUUGAUUGUGUCGUCCUGUUUGUUCUUUACGAGAUUGUCUUCUCCAAGCGUUUGGCUUCAAUGCAGAUCUCUAUGUCAAGGGUGUCUACGUAAAGCGGAAAUGAGUUCAAGGUCCCGAUACGCGGUCAUGUUUGUUACAAGGUUUCUUAUUGUUCGCGUUGCUAAAGAAACGUGAUGGAGAUAUUUAAAGAAAAGAUGUUGGCUUGGCAGUGCAUAUCACAAAGUGCGUAUGCCAUUGUUCAGUUUUGUUUUGUUUCAAGAUUUCUUGCUAAUAAAGAAAGAGUCGGUUUCUAACCUCGAUCCAAGGCUCCUUCAUUGGAAUUUCAACAUCAACAAGAGGGUAUUUUUUGUACGUAUGUAUGUAUGUACGUAUGUAUGUAUGUAUGUAUGUAUGUAUGUAUGUACGUAUGUAUGUAUGUAUGUAUGUAUGUACGUAUGUAUGUAUGUAUGUAUGUAUGUACGUAUGUAUGUAUGUAUGUACGUAUGUAUGUAUGUAUGUAUGUAUGUAUGUACGUAUGUAUGUAUGUAUGUAUGUAUGUACGUAUGUAUGUAUGUAUGUACGUAUGUAUGUAUGUAUGUACGUAUGUAUGUAUGUAUGUAUGUAUGUAUGUAUGUAUGUAUGUAUGUAUGCAAGUAUAUAAGUGUGUAUGUGUGUAUGUGUGUAUGUAUAUAUGUAUACAUACAUACAUGCAACACAAUGUGUAUGUAGGAGAGUGUAGGUCUAUGUUGGUGUCUACACGCACAUAUAUGUGUAUAUAUAUAUUUGUAUGUGUAUAUAUAUAUAUGUAUAUAUAAAUGUAUAUAUAUGUAUAUACAUAUAUAUAUAUAUACAUACAUACAUAAAUACAUACACAUAUACAUAUAUAUAUAUAUACAUGUAUAUAAAUGCACAUAUGUGUGUGUGUGUGUGAGUGUCUGUGUGAGUAUAUAUAUAUAUAUAUGUGUGUGUGUGUGUGUGUGUGUGUAUACACGUAUAUAUAGUGACACAGUGUCAUGGGCUAUAUUAGUGUUUCCCUCGUUCAAGCGAUGUGUGUGUGUAUACAUAUAUGAAUGAUAUGUGUGCUUGUAUGUAUUUUUUCUGAUUGGCCAAAUUUCUGAAUGUUUGGGUGUAUAUUUUUUGUUUAUUUUUACUGCCUUUGUCAGAAGAACAAAAGCAACGGCUAUGAGUUUUUUUAAAAGGCUACGGUAACCGGUACAAGCAAGAAAAUCUUAUCAAGUCUGACCUUGUCCGAAUGCAUGCAAAAGAAUACCUUUUAUAUUUGGUUUUUCUAAUUUCUCAUCAUUAGAAGUUGUUUCCUGCAAGUCGGUAACAGUUGCGUAGGGAGCGGGAAACGGUCUACCUCGGGUGACGUUUUCAUGGCGGCGUCAAUUUCGAGUCUGCUGUGUAAGCCUGUAUAUGCUGUUGAGGGCCUUAUGGUGUGACAAACUCAAAUGCUGUUCAGAGAAGGGCAAGCACUCAAACUACUUCUCUGGACAGUAAGCAACGAACAGUAGCACCGAUCUUAAACAACCACACGAGUAGACGUUUAUUUUCUAAAGAAUUGUCGCAGCAAUAACGAUAGAAAGUGUGGUUCCAAUGCGCAAUAACAGAGGCGCAAAUAAGGUAGAACAGUAGAGGAAUAUUGCUUAACUGAGCUAUCAUCAUUCCUCGUCGGAGAGCGGAAUGAAAGCCUCUGUAUGAGUUCGAAUCUUAAACACAACGCCGAAGGGUAGAACCAUUCGCAGGAAGAUUAACAGAAAACAAUGUGAGUUGUAUGAUAAAGUGUGCGUACGUGUGUGUGUGUGUGUGUGUGUGUGUGCGUGUGUGUGUGUGUGUGUGUGUGUGUGCGUGUGUGGAUGUUAGUGCAGUAUCGUAGUUAGGGGGCGACAAGGAGGUCAGUUCGAUCCGGGCGACGCUUCUAUGGGAGCGGCGUUUACGGUUUUGCGUUGCAAUAGGUUGUCCUUUUUGUGGGGGACCCCAAUAUGUUUGGUGGUAAACAAACUCAAGGGCUACUUCGGGAGGCACAGACUCUAGCUACGCCACUGUGUUAGUGUGUGAAUCGCAGGACAACGUUAAGAUCCCAGUUAGCUGUAUCGGUGUGUCGGUUUCGAUCUCAGUUCCUUUCGAAGUCGCCUCGUCUCUUCACGUCUAUCACGAAUAGUCACGGACAAGCCAUGAACAUCUCAUAUAUAUUCUCUUUCACUUGUUUUAGCCAUUGAACUACGGCCGUGCUGGGGCACCGCCUUGAAGUGUUUUGGUUAAAUAAAUCAACCCCCAGCGCAUUUUGUUUUCGAAGCCUAGUAUUUAUUUUAUCGGUUUCUUUUGCCGAACCGCUCAUCUACGGGACGUGGACAAACCCAUAACGAUUACCAAGCAUUGGCGGGAAGGGAGCAAACACAAAGAUACAAACAUAAAUAUAUGCAUAUAUAUAUAUAUAUAUAUAUAUAUAUAUGUGUGUGUGUGUGUAUAUAUAUAUGUAUAUAUAUAUAUGUAUAUAUGUAUAUAUAUAUAUAUGUGUGUGUAUGUAUGUAUGUAUAUAUAUGUAUGUAUACAUAUAUAUAUAUAUAUAUAUAUAUAUAUAUAUAUAUAUAUGUGUGUGUGUGUGUGUGUGUGUGUGUGUGUAUAUAUAUUAUAAGACGGGAUUCCGAAACGUUUCCGUUUGCCAAAUUCACUCACAAAGCGUUAGUCAGCUCAAGCCUCAUCAUAUAAGACGCAUGCCCAAGUUUCCGCGCGGUGGGAAUGAACCCGAAACCAUGUGAUCGCAAAGCGAGCCAGCCUCUUAACCAUACAGCCAUAUCUGCCCGUAUCUCAAUAUUCUUCCUGAUAGCAUUUUGCUACCCUUCACCCAAAAUGAAUAACCUUUAUCCAAACGUCAUGUCAUGUCAUGCCAUGCCACAUCCUGGUCCAUAUCUGUCUAGUUCCAUUCACCUAGAAAAUGUCCGUCUUAUCAUAUGAUAACGAAAAUAAUAAAAUAAUAUAAUAACUGAACACAUAAUGAUAUAUGUUGAGUUUUUGUUCGUUUUUUUUUUUGCAAUGUUGGGCAGACCUGGUUCUUUCAGCAGACGCCGAAUAUAAUUUAUUUAAGUAGAACAGAUUAUGUAGCUCGGACUCAUCGAUCACAUAGCCAUUUCCCUUGAGUUUAAUGCAGUAAUAAUCCAGGAUGAUUAAUAAUACUGCAAGAGAAGUUCUAUCGGAAAAUUCCAUUCCGGAUGCAAUUCAUUUCGAUUGUCACGACAACCUUGCUUUAGUCAAGAACCAGCAGUAGCAGCAGCAGCAGCAGCAGCAUACGUCUUUGUCCGGAUUUAUUAAUUCCAGAAAUAUAUAUAUAGUCACAUGAGUUCUCCGUAUUUUUGAUAAAUUGCUUUCAAAUGACACUUAAGGUUUUCCGUUGUUUCAGAAAUAGUGAUUCACUGAGAUUUGCUGCACCUAUGCAAUUCGCCACCAUUUAAAAACCAAAAAAAACCCCCCAAAAACAAACAAAUGCAUCAGAAAUCUCACACUCCUUGUGGCUGACCUCUUGAUAAGAUGUCCCUCUCUGCAAAAUUUUAGCUUCCUCUGUGCAAUGCAACACUGUAGUCUUUCACUUGGAGCAUACAAACAUACAUGCGUACAUGUGUGGUGGCUGUCAAUUCGUAGACGCCUACGACCAUCGCUGACAAAUGAUCUUAUCCUAAAUGUUAAAGUGAAUGUCUGUCAGCAAGACCCGUGUGGAAACUGAAAGUCAGUAACAGGUUGCACAACACUGCUAAGAGUCUCCCCUUAAAAACAAGCAAGAAAAAGAUCGCCAGCUUCACAAUGAGGAAGAUGCUAUUUCGGAAUUUCGUUCUCUUAGAGAGAUGGCUUAAACAAAGGACUACGAUAUCUCUUAUUGCCAACAUUAGGUUGACCGUUGACUCUGUUGGAUUAAUCGCUGCUUUGAUCGGAUUUGUUUUCCGUCCCGCAGAGUAUUCAGUGCGUUGAGCGAAGAACCGCCCUCCUGCCUAAUCCAAGAAGGCUUGAUAGGGUUAUCGUGGUUUCGAUACCCGGACCGGGCGAUGCAUUGUGUCCUUCAGCGAAACCCCCCCCCAAAAAAAAACUUCAUUUUCCUUUGCUCUUACGACCACUUGGGCAUCUGACGAGUGGCACACCAUGAACCUGUAUAAGCAAUGUCGAUUUGAGAGAUGGAGUGAGCUCAUGUAGAACACUAACAUUUGUGUAAACAAAUGAUCUGUGCCGAUCAAUGGGUCUCAACCGGGGUCCAUAGGGUCGUUAGGGGUUCACAGGGUCCUUGAAGAUCCAUAUAAGAUUUUGUUGUUAAAAUUUAAGAGCUAUAAUUUGGUCAUACUUCUACAAUACACUCAAUAUUUUAAUAAUUUAAAAAAAAUACAAUGUUUAAUCAUAAGAAAAUGUGGGUGUGUGGUAAGUUGCUUGCUUACGAACCACAUGGUUCCAGGUUCAGUCCCACUGCGUGGUACUUUGGGCAAGUGUCUUCUACUAUAGCUUCGGGCCGACCAAAGCCUUGUGAAUGGAUUUGGUAGACGGAAACUGAAAGAAGCCCGUUGUAUAUAUAUAUAUAUAUAUAUAUAUAUAUAUAUAUAUGUGUGUGUGUGUGUGUGUGUGUGUGUGUGUGUGUUUGUUUCCCCAACAUCGUUUGACAACCUAUGCUGGUGUGCUUACGUGCAUGUUAGAAAGGGUUUUAAUCAAAGAAAUUUUAAUUCUAUUAUUCUGUAAAAUAAUAUUUAAUUAAUUUAAAUGUUCAGAAAUGCAUAAAAUAAUUUUUAAUUCCAUUAGACAUUCUAAAAUACUUAUGGGAUGACAUCGCACACACACACAUACACACACACACACACACACACACACACGUUCUUAAAGGUUGAACUUGAGGUCAUGUAGGCAACAUUAGGAUUUGAACUCAAAACACAAAGAACUAAAAGCAAGCACCAAAGGAUAUUCCGUCCGACCUUCUAACGAUUCUGCCAAUCCAUUACACUUUAUUUACCGGCCCGGGAAGGAAGAAAGGCAAAGCUAACCUCGUUGGGGUCUGAACUCAGAAUGCAAAGAACUAAAAACAAAUACCAAAAGACAUUCCAUCCGGCAUUCUUAACAAGUCUGCCAGUCUACUGUACAAAACUGGUCUAUUAUACUAUUUAUCGAUCCCGGAUGGAAGCAAAGAAAAUGUUUAUUUCGACGAUGUUUGAACGCCAAACAAAGAAAAAGAAAGAAAAGAGAAAAAGCAAUUAUUAACCACGACGAAUUUCGUCCGAUGCGCAGACAACUCUUCCGAUUCCCCACCUCUCCGUCAGCGUCUGGGGCUGUCAUGUGAUAAACAAUUUACAAAGACGAGAAUUCGGAUAUAACACUAAAACGUUCAAAUAAGUAUUAACACUACCAACUGGCAAAUAUAUAUAUAUAUAUAUAUAUAUAUAUAUAUAUAUAUAACAAUUUAAUAAAUAAAACAUAUGCAUACAUACAUAUAUGUACAUACCUACAUCUAUAUGUAUAUAUACAUGCAUAUAUAUAUAUAUGAGUACAGGACACCACAAAUAACGGACUUUUUUUAACAACGAAAAAACAGAGUACAAGACAAACAAUACAAGGAAUAUUCCCCUUCAUCAGCUGCCCCUGUUUCGACUCAAUGCGUGUUUCGAAGGUAAGGGCAGAACACGAUCCGGCCGAAGCAAUCCUUCCUGCAAAAUGAAUUAAAUAAAAUUGUUUUGCAGAGGGGUAAAAAAAGUAACAAGAACAGGACGUAAAAGCAAUAAAAAUGAAGAAAAAAACAGAACACAUAAAGAAUAAAAACAGGACAAGGAAACCAACAAUAAGGGCUUCUUUUUUUAAAGCCUAGACGGUGGAAAAAUUCGUUGGAACGCAUAUAUAUAUAUAGGCAUGCGCGCGACGUGUAUAUAUGUAUGUAUGAAGAUGCUUGGUUCAGUGGUUAGGGCGUUGCGGUCACAAUCAUGAGGUAGUAAGUUGAUUCCUGGAGCAGGCUGUGUGUUGUGUUCUUGAGCAAGACACUUUAUUUCACGUUGCUCCAGUUCUACUCAGCUGGAGAAAUGAGUUGCGAUGUCACUGGUGCCAAGCUAUAUAUGUCUUUGUUUUUGUAUCGGAUAACAUUGGUGACAUAGAGAGAGAGGAGGGUGGUAUGCAUGGUCGACUGCUGAUAUUCGAUAAAACAACCUUGCCCGUGUAAUGGUCAUGACAGGAGGGCGUCUUUACCCUUUUAUAUAUAUAUAUAUAUAUAUAUAUAUAUAUAUAUAUAUAUAUAUAUAUAUAUAUAUAUAUAUAUAUAAUAUAUAUAAAUAGAUGUGUGUAUUUUCCCCUUGUUAACAACACGGAAAAAUAGAUAAAUAGUUACCAUAGUAGUAAAAAAUCACACAAGUAAAAAGGGUGCAACUCCUUGUUUUUAAAGGUAGAAACUCUGAGUUUAUGUGAAAUUUUUUGUAUAACUCAUAUAAAUAAAUAAAUGGAGUUAGAAGCAGGUGUUAUUCAAAUUCUUUUACUUCCGACACAUGUUUCAAAGAUAUCACUGGUAUUAUUCCAAAGGAAUAAAAUGGUGUAAAACAGCUUGGCACAAGUGACAUCGCAACUUAUUUCUACAGUUAAGUGAACUGGAGCAAUGUGAAAUAAAGUGUCUUGCUCAAGAACACAACACACAGCCCUGCCCGGGAUCACUAUUGUAAGCCUGACUCUCUAACCAGUGACCCAUGCACCUUCACACACACACGCGCGCACACGCACGCACGUACACACACAUUUCUCGAAGGAUAAAUAGAAAACGAAGCAUAUAAAUGCUUAUUCCUGUGACCUGUGCAUUUUGAAUUCAAUUCCCGCUUCUUAUUAUCGCUGGGAAAGGAAAUCAAAAAAGAAUUUUUGCGUUUCUGCCAAGAAUCGCGAGAGGUUGGAGUGCGGGCAAGGCAGAACGGGCAGGAGAUUGGAGUGCAGGCAGAACACUAGAGUGCAGGAAAAGCAGACGGGCAAGAGGCUGGAGUGAUAAGGAAAGCGGUUAAGAAGUUGGUGUGCUGUAAAGGCGGAGCCGGUAAGAGAUUAGGGGUGCGGUGUGUAAGACGCUGGAGUGCGAGUAAGGCAGAGCGUAUAAUGCCUAUGAAUAGGGAGGUUAUUUUCGGAUGGAGACUAUGGCAUUUAUUUGUGUAGCCAUAGUACCGUCUUAGACAUUUUUUUAGUUUCUUUUCUCCACCAUGGCCUUGGUUAUGCUUCGGCAUGGGCUUAGACGUCAAAUCCCAGUGGCUCACUUCGGAGCCAAUAAAAAUAAAGUCCCAUUAAAGUAAUGGCGUAGAUUUUACCGUCUGAUUGCGCGCCACUAUAAAUUCUGGCCUCGUGCGAGUGUUUGAAAUCUAUAUUAUUAAUAUAUAUUUAUCUUAUUGUUGUAUUUUUCUUUCUCCAUUUGACGCCAUGUUGUGUUUCUCAAUUUCAGACAAAAUAAUUGUUGUUUGUUUUCGUUUUUUUUUAUUGAUUUCAGCUUCAAUUCUUACCAAGAUUUCUGAAGUAAAUUAAGUUUUGUCUACCUCAUCACAUCUAUGCCAAUUUUUUAUCUUGCCAUUACUUCUAAAACAUCAUUAUUUCGUAUUAUUAAUGUUUUAUUCCGCUUGUAUUUCGUUUGUAAUCUGUUUCUCCGUGUAUAGUUUCUCUGUCAUUUGGUUGUCAUCUCUCUGCAGCCUAUCUACUCAAUCUGUGGUCCUUGUAUGUUUCAAAUGUUGUCAGUUCAUCGUCUGCCAGCAUUCCGUUUGCAGUUAAUCUGUAAUCCACUUGUAAUCCGCCUGUUGCCAUACUGUCAUUCGUCUGUACUCCAUUUGCAUUCAACCUAUAAUUUACCCUUACUGCAUCUGCUAUUCGUCUGUGGUCUGUUUGUUGCCCGUCUCUUAGUUGACUUUUGUUUAUUUGUAGUCCAUCUGUAUACUGCUUCAGUUCGUCUGUUGUUCAUCUGUGUCGUGCCUGUUACUCGUCUGUGGUCCAUCUGUUGCCCGUCUGUGGUUUGUUUAUUUUCGGUCUGUAGCAACCCUGAUGUCUAUCUGUAGUCCGUUUCUGGUUCAUCAGUUGUUCAUCUCAAGAUUGAUUUUAGUCUGCAUGUAGUCCGCCUGCGGCCUACCUGUGGUCCACCUGUAGUAAGCCUGUGGUCCGUAUCCGUUGUUCGUCAGUAGUCCAUUUUUUAGUCUCUAUGUAGUCCUCUUGCUAUCCGUUUCUGUUCAGUUUGAGGUCUGCCUGUGAUCCGCCUGUGGUAAGCCUGUAGUCCACCUGUGGUCUACUUGUGGUCCGCCUGUGGUCUGCCUGUAGUCCACCUGUGGUCUGCCUGUGCUCCGCUUCCGUGUUCGUCAGCAGUCCAUUUUUUUAGUCCGUAUGCAGUCCUCUUGCCAUCCGUUUCCGUUCAGUUUCAGGUCUGCAUGUGAUCCGCCUGCAGUCCAUUUCUAUUCUCUCCUAAGUAAAUAUAAAUAAAAACGAUAUCUCUUCAAGUUUUAAUUAAAUUUUUGAUCACAAUUUUCUGCUUGAUUAUAUUUAUACAUGUCUAUGCUUGAUGGAUUGCUGCCACCUUACUAUUUAUAUAUUAAUGUCGAUAUUUGAUGGAAUGUUGCCACUGUACUAUAUACGUCUAUUUCUCUUGGAUCGUUGCCACUGUAUUUAUUUAUAUGUCAUGGAAUGAUGCCAUGUACUCAGUGUUGAUUAUUUCACGACCGCUUAUAUUGUUGUUGUUAAUGCUUAUCCUCAGAUUAGCCUAUAAUCAAAUUCAUUAUAUCAGUGGCUAUCCACUUUUUUCUUUAAAGGCGACGAGCAGACGAAAUACUUAGCGGUAUUUCGUCUGCCGUUACGUUCUGAGUUCAAAUUCCGCCGAGGUCGACUUUGCCUUUCAUCCUUUCGGGGUCGAUAAAUUAAGUACCAGUUACGCACUGGGGUCGAUGUAAUCGAGUUAAUCCGUUUGUCUGUCCUUGUUUGUCCCCUCUAUGUUUAGUCCCAUGUGGGCAAUAAAGAAAUAAUAUCCACUUUUUUCAUUUUGUUUUUAGAAAUAACGUAGGUAGGAUUAAAUUAGUCGACAUGUCCUUUUUUUUCUUAAAGAAUCUCGGAGAUUUGGCUUCUAUUUCAAGCAGGUUAAGCUAUCACCAAAAGGAUCCCUCGUUGAUUGGUCUAACUGCGAUCCCAUUCAGUGUAAUUUUGUUUCUAAUAUACGGUUAUGGGUGACUAAAGAGCGAUAAAUAGCAGGAACAACGGAUUAAAUGCAUUCCAAUGUUGAAUAACCUCCCUUUACGUUCCGAGUUCGAAUCACAUCAAAGUCAGCCUUUCCUUUCACCCUUCCAGGAUUGAUUAAAAAAAUACUAAUCAGGGGCCAAUGCUCCCUCUGAAGCAAUGGCCAUCGACGACAUUUCUUCACUGUUCUCGACUCCGGACUGUAUUUUGUGCUCUUUCUCGCUUGGAUCCCUACUUUUUCAGCCCCACUUCGGUAUCCCGCCCCAAGAAUUCUUAGGACGCCAUUUCUUCCACACCCGUCACAGGUCACCAAUUAAAUCGAUGAUCAGCCUAUCAAAUCAACCGUUACUUUCCUACUGCUAGGUAAAGUUUUCACACUUUCAUUCUAUCGUUUUCACUUUUGGUUGCUCAUUCAAUAAUUCCCCCCCCCCCCUCCAACUCCAUCCUAUUCGUCCCUAUUCGAACUGUUCUUAGCUUCUUGCAAAGUCUUUUGUCAGCUUCCAUAUUUUUGCAGUGUAAGAAAACGUGGGAGGUCUAAGAAUGAGUACGAAUUAAUACAUGGACAUAUGAAUAAAUGAAUUGAUAAAUGAUAAUAUUAUAAUAACUUUAGAUGCAGGAGUGGUUGCGUGGUAAGACGUUUGCUUACCAACCACAUGAUUUCGGCUUCAGUCCCACUGUGUGGCACCUUGGGCAAGUGUCUUCUACUAUAGCCUCUGGCCGACCAAAGCCUUGUGAAGGGAUUUGGUAGACGGAAACUGAAAGAAGCUCGUCGUAUAUAUGUAUGUAUAUAUAUAUAUAUAUAUAUAUAUAUAUAUAUAUAUAUAUAUAUAUAUAUAUAUAUAUGUGUGUGUGUGUGUGUGUGUGUUUGUCCAUCCCACUAUCGCUUGACAACCGAUGUUGGUGUGUUUGCGUCCCCGUCACUUAGCGGUUCGGUAAAGCGAGACCGAUGGAAUAAGUACUGGACUUGCAGAUAAUAAGUCCUGAGAUCGAUUUGUUAAUCUUGAGCUACACGGAUAAUCUCUAUCUAUUCCAUUUCGGUAUUUACCGUUAUUUUCUGCCCAGCCUUGAGAAGAGCAUUCAUAGUUGAUCAUAGGGAACCAGAGACAUAUAAUUAGUUGUUCGUUACUGUCAGGGUGAUCCAUAAUUUGUUCGGGAGUGCCAGGAUUAUUCUCGGUUAUUCGUGGAUACCACGCAACAUGUUCGUUGUUGUCAGGGACAAUUUCAUUUUUUAGUGAUUAUCAUGGACACCUGAGUGCUUCCUAAUUGUCCCUGUUUGACAGCGAAAUUCCAUAUUUGCUUGUGGUUGACAUUGAGACCCCUUGUUCGUCAUUGACAAAAACAGCCUCUAGUUGGUUGUGGCCGAUAGGGUCAGCCCUCGUUGUUCUUUGAUGGCAAAGGUACACUCUGUGGUUGACAGGAGCACCCCUAGUUGUUCGUUGUUGACAAAGAUGUACCCUAGUAUUUUUUUUGUAGUUGACACGGUACCACUAGUUGUUUGUGGUUAACAAGGACUCCCUUAAAUGUUCCUUACUGAGAAGGACCCCUAAAUUUUCAUAGGUGACAGGGACAGUUCUGGUUUUUUUUUUGUGGUUUGACAGAGAUACCACUAGUUUCUUGUCGUUCACAAGAAAAGCCCUUCACCGUUUGUGGCUGACAGGGACACCCCUGGUUGUUCGCCGUUGGCAGGAUUUCUUCACCAUCUUGUUGUCCAUGGUGGACAACAAUACACCCCUAGUUCUUUGUCAUUAACAGAGACACAUCCAUGUUGCUCCAUGACUGAGAGGGACACUUCCCCGAACAGUUAGUUCAUAGUUGACACGGAUACCCAAAGACGGAUCUUGAUAGGGUGCCACAUCAUGUCCAUUAAUUCUUCGUGAUUGGCAGACAUUAUUGCCAUUCAUGCUAUAUUAUUUGCAUUAAGAAUCUUUUAAAUUGCCAAAGCAUCAAAAUUAUAGAAAUCACACCAUCGAAAUCCCAACAAUCCUUUUGGUGGUUGUGGUAGCGGUGGUUAUCCAACCCCCUACUCUUCUCCUCCACCUCCUUCUCUUCUUCUUCAUCCUCUUCUUUUUCCUCCUCUUCUUUCUCUUCCUCUUAUACCUCCUCCUCUUCUACUUCCUCCUCUUCUUCUACUUCCUCCUCUUCCUCCCCUUCUCUUUCCCCCUUCUUCUUCCGCCUCCUUUCUCUUCCUCUUAUACUUCCUCCUCCUCUACUUCCUUCUCUUCCUCAUCCCCUUCUACAUCCUCCUUUUCCUCCUUCUCUUCCUUUGCCCCUUCUACCCCCUCCCCUUCCUCCCCCUUCUUCUUCCUCCUCUUCCUUCUCUUCUUCCUUCGUUCCUUUCUCUUCCUCCUGAUCAUCAUUAGCAUCAUCAUAAUCCUCAUCGUCUUCGUCCUCCUCCUCUUCCUUCUUAUUAUUAUCAGCAUCAUCGUCAUUGUCGUCGUCGUGAUCGUCCUCCUCCUCCUCAUCAUCAUCAUCAUCAUCAUCAUCAUCAUCAUCAUCGUGAUUAUUGUCGUCUCACUACUUUGUCAAUAAUUUGUCAACUAUUAUGAUUGGAUUACGUUAGCGAUAUUUCAAAAUACGUGGCGGUGGCGGCGGUGGUGGAGAUGCUGGUGGUGGUGGCGGCGGUGGUGGUGGUGGUGGUGGUGGUGGUGGCGGUGGUGGAGAUGCUGGUGGUGGUGGCGGUGGUGGUGGUGGUGGUGGUGGUGGUAGAGGUGGGGAUGAUGAGAACUGGAUGCGGGUUCCAGCAUGUUCAGAUUAUGUCUGUCGAAACAGACGAUGUGAUUUGAAAGAAUGCAAUGACAGAAAGAUAACACUUACACAUUUGGUAAGUGGAAGCGAUUCUAUAUUACUGCAGACUAACCACGCAUGCGCACGCACACCUGCGCGCAUGUAUAUACAUAUAUAUAUUCACAUACAUCUCUCUCUCUCUCUCUCUCUCUCUCUCUAUAUAUAUAUAUAUAUAUAUAUAUAUAUGAAUAAUAUAUAUAUAUAUAUAAAUAUAUAUAUAUAUAUAUAUAUAUAUAUAUAUAUAUAUAUAUAUAUAUAUAUACGACGGGCUUCUUUUAAUUUCCGUCUACCAAAUCCACUCACAAAGCUCUGGUCGGCCCGAGGCUAUAGUAGAAGACACUUACCCAAGAUGCCAUGCAGUGGGACUGAACCCAGAACAAUGUGGUUGGUUAGCAAGCUACUUACCACACAGCCACAUAUAUACACAUAUAUAUAUAUAUAUAUAUAUAUAUAUAUACAUACGUACAGACAUACAUAUAUACGUACAUAUAUAAUCACAUACAUACAUAUAUACAUUCAUAAUUACAUACGUACAUACAUAAUUACAUACAUACAUAUAUACAUACAUAUAUACUCACAUACAUACAUACAUAAUUACAUACAUACAUACACACACAUGCAUACAUAUAUAUACAUACAUAUGUACUCACAUACAUACAUAUAUGCAUACAUACAUAUAUACAUACAAAUAGGCGCACACACGUACACGACGCAUAAACAUAUACACAUACAGAUAGACAUUUUCUAUCUCUGUCUGUAUGUCUGUCUGUCUCUCUCGUGCGCGUGCAUACACAUACGUACUUGUGUAAACAAUUUGCAAGCGAAAACAAUACAUUUAAAAUAUGCGCAAAACACGAGAAACAGAUAUGGAAGAUCCAACACUGGUGUGUGUUUGUGUUUGUGUUUGUGUUUGUGUUUGUGCAUUCGUACGCGCUUGUUUGUUUACUUGUUUGUUUGUGUGUGUGUGUAUGUGUGUGUCCCCCCGCGCUUUUGAACGUAUAAGAACCGUUUACAUGUGCACACAUACACAUACAUGCACUCGUGGCGCAUUAGCGUAAGUAAACGUUUCAUAAUCAUUAGCGAGUUUGUUUUGUACUUCGUUCGUCGCAAGGACACAUAAGAAAAGAUAAACGGAAAUACAAUACGAUAUGUAUUUGACAUAAUUACGGGUACAGUUACAUGUAUAGAUAUUAGAAGCAGCCGGUAUAAUUGAAUAUAAAUUAUUGAGGACAUAGUUUUAUUGUGGUAUGCACCCGCUGGGUACGAACCGAAAAGAGAACCUCAUUAUAAUCGCUCGAUUUGCUAAAAAUUACUAAACAAAUUCGCCUCAUAUAAACCCAUACCCUCUAAAAGAGAAAAAGGAAAUAUUAUUGUCGCUCUAGAUAAUAUACUAAGAGAUUGGAUGGUCACGGUGGAACGUCUUUGAUUAUAAGGCGUAGGAGUGGAUGUGUGGUAAGUAGCUUGUUUACCAACCAUAUGGUUCCGGGUUCAGACCCACUGCGUGGAAAGUGUCUUCUACUAAAGCCUCAGGUCGACCAAAGCCUUGUGAGUGGAUUUGGUAGACGGAAACUGAAAGAAGCCCGUCGUAUAUAUGUAUAUAUGUGUGUGUAUAUGUUUGUGUGUCUGUGUUUGUGCCCCCAACAUUGCUUGACAACCGACGCUUGUGUGUUUACGCCGCCGUAACUUAGCGGUUCGGUAAAAGAGACCGAUAGAAUAAGUACUAGACUUACAAAAUAAUAAUUCCUGGGGUCGAUUUGCUCGACUAAAGGCGGUGCUCCAGCAUGGCCACAGUCAAAUGACUGAAAUAAGUAAAAGAGUAAAAGAGAAUAUUGGGUUGUCCGGAAAGUUCGUGCCGAAAUAUAGUAGCUUACCUUUCAACUUAUUUUAGAACAUGGUCGAAUCCAUAAAAUAGGAUUUGUCUACACCUCCAUUUAGAUCACAGUUUAAGCUAUCUUUUCGUGGAAGAGGGUUUAUGUUCCUAUAACCUGUGUUAAUUCUGUAACCCUUUAAAAUAGAAGAUAAAGUUCAUUUUCAGCACUUGAUGCUUUGGGAAUCAGACAAAAAUUGCUGCAGCUCGGCUGAGAUGUGUUACUCCACCCUCCAUAUUCAACAAAUAUUGCUCCUUCAGAUUUUCACUUGUUCAGGUCUCUGCAGAAUAGUCUUAAUGGUAAAAGUUUCAAUUCUUUGGAUGACAUAAGAUAACUUGAUGAAUUCUUUGCCAUGAAACCACCUCAAUUCUGGGAAGAGGGUAUUUUCAAGUUAAAGGAAAGAUGGAGACGCAUUGUGCAAAAAAAUGGUUCAUAUUUGGCUGAUUAAAAAUGUAAUGGCAAGUAUUUAUUGACCUUUUUCUUUCCUUUAAAAAUCGGCACGAACUUUCCGGACAACCCAAUACAUAAGUGAUUGAAGUCAGUAGAUGGCGUAGUUUCAGUAUUUCGCAUUGUGUCACGCUGAAUCUCAUCUGAGAACUACGUUAAGGGUACACAUGACUGUGGAGUGCUCAGCCACUUGUACGUUAAUUUCACGAGCAGGCUGUUCCGUUGACCGGAUCAACUGGAACCUUCGUCGUCGUAACCGACGGAGUGCCACGAUGGCGAGAUAAUGAAGUAGUCUUUGAUAAUAUGCUAUGUUCGAACAAGAGAUGAGAUGGUCACGGUUGAAACGUCUUUGAUCAUACGUAAGUCAUGAAAAUCAUUAGAUAGUGCAGUUUCAGAUAAUAUGCCUUGUUUACUUAGGGGAUGGAAUAGUCACGGAUGGAACAUUUUCGAUAGAAUAUGGUUUUUGUAGAUCAUUAGAUAAUGUGGUCUUAAAUAAUAUACUAUGCUGGAAUAAGAGUUGGGAUGGUCACUGCUGGAACGCUUUAGUGAUACAUAAAUAUAGUAGAUCAUUAGAUAAUGUAGUGUGGAGGCGCAAUGGCCCAGUGGUUAGGACAGCGACACGCGGUUUCGAUUCCCAGACCGGGCGAAAGAGCUGGCAGAAACGUUAGCAGGCCGGACGGAAUCCUUAGCGGUAUUUCGUCAGCCGUUACGUUCUGAGUUCAAAUUCCGCCGAGGUCGACUUUGCCUUUCAUCCUUUCGGGGUCGAUUAAAUAAGUACCAGUUAUGCACUGGGGUUGAUAUAAUCGACUUAAUCCCUUUGUCUGUCCUUGUUUGUCCCUCUGUGUUUAGCCCCUCGUGGGUAGUAUAGAAAUAGGUAUUUCGCCUGCCGUUACGUUCUGAGUUCAAAUUCCGCCGAGGUCAUAUUUGCCUUUCAUCCUUUCUGGGUCGAUAAAUUAAGUACUUAAUUUAUAAUCGACUUAAUCCCUUUAUCUCUCCUUGUUUAUCCCCUCUAUGUUUAGCCCCUUGUGGGCAAUAAAGAAAUAAAAAAAUAUACUGUUUGAAUAAGAGAUAGGAUGGUCACAGCUGGAAUGUCGUUGAUCAGAGUUAGGAGUUGUUGAUCAUUGACUGACCAAGACCAUGCUGCAGCAGCAAUAAUAACAACAAUGACGGUAACGCUGACGCUGACGACGACUACGACGGUAGUAACGACUCUGAAAUUACUUCUGCUUGAUGGCAAGCGACCGCAGUGUGUUUCAGACGUUUUUCGAGUUUUUGUCAGAACUGCCGUGAUGCUGAAUAAACAAAGUCCACAGCCAUAAAGAAGCUAAGAACAUGUCAGCCUAGACAAGAGUGAGCUAAUUUGCAUUUUGGUGUUUGUUUGAAACACUGUUGGAAAAAUUACUAACGCACCGAACACAGCAUGAGGAAACGUCAAAGAAAAAGAAAGAAAAUCAAUAAUUUCAAAGUUUAUUUAUGUCUAAAACAUAUAUAUCUCGUAGCUUAGAAGACAGAAUUGAUUAUCUUUAAGAACAAAACAAAGUCUCGGUUUUUAACAGUUUUCUUUUGUCUGUUUGCCGCAACUACAGUCUAGCAAAUAUUCAUUAAUUACGCCCAUUUAAAUUUUACUGUAAUACAAGGCUACUUACUCUAGGCUGUAGGUUUCCCAGCAAAUUUGAACAUAGUUUUAUUAGCUAUUUCCUACUUAUGAAGUAU